rnacentral:tRNA from 1 species
GGUGGCUCAGUGGUAGAGUGUUUGCCUUGCAUGCAUGAGGCUCUGGGUUCAAUUCCUCAGCACCA